UCUACGUAUGUGCGGUGUCCAACCGAUGUCCGUCAACCGUCGCGUCAUCAGUAUAUAACUUUUUUAGCAAUAAUAUUAAUAAAACAUAAUAUUCCGAAAAAAUAAUAAKUCGUUCCGCUCGAGUAUAUCUCCUUCGGCGUCGUUUGCCGCUCUGUCCACACAGCGUACGUACUCGUGACUCGUGAAUGUAAAAUAUCGUGUAAUAGACUAGCGUUUCUAAAUGUUCAUACCUAUUGGGGGCUGUCGCAGUAAAAACGUCAAGAAACACCGGUGUAGUGGUGUAGACAACCGCGUUGGUAGUUUUCAUCUAGUCGCCGAUCGAAAAUUCAUCAUAAUAUUAUAUUGUAUGAUAAUUUAAUUGAGUAUCGCAUUUGUGMUGAACAGCGUUAACAGCACUCAUUGCGCGUGGUUUUCCAGAAAGUGACGCGAAGCAAUAUCGGCUAUACUUAUGCUGUUUUUACAAUCUUUAAUCUCCAAUAUUUUCAAAGCAAGGAUUUUUCGCAUAACUCGAGUUCAUCUGUUCAUCAUGAAUUUCGAUAAAUAUGUCCACUGCUUUUUAUCUAUUUAGAGUCCAGACCAUAUUAAUCCGCAUAUAGGAAGUCUGCAAUCUACAUCAGAGCUAUAACUCACAAAAUUUCUAAAUAUAAAUAUUUUCUACUUAUGUGUAGGUAUGAACUCCCCAUCCCACCGAAUUUGUUGUUGUGUACGUGCCUGUUAACGACAAGACGUUAUAUCUGCGAUGUACCGAUGCGUUAUCGCAGUUAAGUAGCAACUGAACUUAAUACGUCAUGCGUUAUUGAAUAGAGAUCCUUGACCCGGUUGUGUUGCAGCGGCUGUCUACACGCAACGAGACAGCGGAGGGGAAAUCACAUAAUACUAUACGCUCGGAACACGUAAACGCAACACCGCACCGUCGCGCGUGUACGACAGUCGGUUUGACGCGUCCGAAACCACACUGCAGCUACACAAUAUAAUAUAGCACUCGCCGCGAUAUACGUGUGUAAACGACGGUACGAAAAUAWAAUAUAGACUUACAGCACCAGUCUCUGGCGACCGACCCGCGUGUGACACCGCCCGCACUCGCGAUGAGUACGUCCGUGAUGAACAGGUUGCGGGACCUGGAAACCGAGCUGGCCCGCCGGAUAUCCGAGUCGAGGAAAAAAGACGA